CCCUUAGAUGUUUUGGGCUGCACGCGCGCUACAAUGACAAUCAGAAUAAGUUUCAUUGCUGAAAUGCAUUAAGAAUCAUCAAUAAUAUGUCGUGAGUGGGAUAGUUCAUUGCAAUAUUGGACUUGAACAAGGAAUCCCUUGUAUGUAUUGCCGAGAAUGCAAUACAGAAUACGUCCCUGCCGUUUGUACACACCGCCCGUCGUUUCUUCCGACUGGUAUCCAUUGUGAAUAACAAGGAGAGAAUUUCGAAUUGUCGUGAAUGCUGGGUGCUGGAGGAAGAAAAAGUCGUAACA
rnacentral:rRNA from 1 species